rnacentral:rRNA from 1 species
AACGAACGCUGGCGGCAGGCUUAACACAUGCAAGUCGAACGCCCCGCAAGGGGAGUGGCAGACGGGUGAGUAACGCGUGGGAAUCUACCCAGUUCUACGGAACAACACAGGGAAACUUGUGCUAAUACCGUAUACGCCCUACGGGGGAAAGAUUUAUCGGAAUUGGAUGAGCCCGCGUUGGAUCAGCUAGUUGGUGAGGUAACGGCUCACCAAGGCGACGAUCCAUAGCUGGUCUGAGAGGAUGAUCAGCCACACUGGGACUGAGACACGGCCCAGACUCGUACGGGAGGCAGCAGUGGGGAAUAUUGGACAAUGGGCGCAAGCCUGAUCCAGCCAUGCCGCGUGAGUGAUGAAGGCCUUAGGGUUGUAAAGCUCUUUCAGUGGGGAAGAUAAUGACGGUACCCACAGAAGAAGCCCCGGCUAACUUCGUGCCAGCCGCCGCAGUAACAC